CAGAUAAACUCCAUGCCAGUUUGGAGACAUUGCAGAUGCCAACCCAGGAAUUUGAGUUCUGGACCCAUCUUUAAUACUCCCUGCAAAACAUUGCUUUCUGUUUGCUAGAUGAAGAGGAUAACUUAUUCGCACCCCCCAAGCUGACCGACGAGGACUUCUCGCCAUUUGGCUCUGGAGGCGGCCUGUUCAGUGGGGGCAAGGGGCUCUUUGAUGAUGAGGACGAGGAGAGUGACCUCUUCACGGAAGCCCCCCAGGAUCAGCAAGCUGGAGCCUCUGUUAAGGAGGAGUCUUCAUCAUCCAAACCUGGAAAGAAAAUCCUAGCAGGAGCUCUUUCUGUAUUUUUAGGUAACAUAACUUCAGGCUUUGUCUUCUCCUAAAAACUCACAAAUACCUCGUCUCUUUUCCCCAUUU
rnacentral:lncRNA from 1 species